UACGGAGGGUGCAAGCGUUAUCCGGAUUCACUGGGUUUAAAGGGUGCGUAGGUGGGUUGGUAAGUCAGUGGUGAAAUCCCCGAGCUUAACUUGGGAACUGCCAUUGAUACUAUCAGUCUUGAAUAUUGUGGAGGUUAGCGGAAUAUGUCAUGUAGCGGUGAAAUGCUUAGAUAUGACAUAGAACAUCAAUUGCGAAGGCAGCUGGCUACGCAUAUAUUGACACUGAGGCACGAAAGCGUGGGGAUCAAACAGG
rnacentral:rRNA from 1 species